GAUGAAGAACGUAGCGAAAUGCGAUAAGUAAUGUGAAUUGCAGAAUUCAGUGAAUCAUCGAAUCUUUGAACGCUCAUUGCGACCGCCAGUAUUCUGGCGGGCAUGCCUGUCCGAGCGUCAUUUCAACCCUCAAGCCCCCGGGCUUGGUGUUGGAGAUCGGCGAGCCCCCCGGGGCGCGCCGUCUCCCAAAUAUAGUGGCGGUCCCGCUGUAGCUUCCUCUGCGUAGUAGCACACCUCGCGCUGGGAAACAGCGUGGCCACGCCGUAAAACCCCCCACUUCUGAAAGGUUGACCUCGGAUCAGGUAGGAAUACCCGCUGAACUUAAGCAUAUCAAUAAGCGGAGGA
rnacentral:misc_RNA from 1 species